rnacentral:rRNA from 1 species
AGCAGCCGCGGUAAUUCCAGCUCCAAUAGCGUAUAUUAAAGUUGCUGCAGUUAAAAAGCUCGUAGUUGAAUUUCGGGACCGAUAUAUCGGUCGUGCCUCGGUACGUACUGGUAUUUUCAGUUUCUCCCUUCUGACGAACCUUGAUGUCAUUAAUUUGGUGUCUUGGGGAAUCAGGACUGUUACUUUGAAAAAAUUAGAGUGUUUAAAGCAGGCUCACGCUUGAAUACAUUAGCAUGGAAUAGUGAAAUAGGACGUUUGAUUCUAUUUUGUUGGUUUCUAGGAUCGACGUAAUGAUUAAUAGGGAUAGUUGGGGGCAUUAGUAUUCAAUUGUCAGAGGUGAAAUUCUUGGAUUUAUUGAAGACUAACUACUGCGAAAGCAUUUGCCAAGGGUGUUUUCAUUAAUCAAGAACGAAAGUUAGGGGAUCGAAGACGAUCAGAUACCGUCGUAGUCUUAACCAUAAACUAUGCCGACUAGGGAUCGGAUGAUGUUAAUUUUUAAUGACUCAUUCGGCGCCUUACG